rnacentral:rRNA from 1 species
GGCGGAGUUAGAGCAUACUCUAAGCGUAGUAAUUAUCCCCUCGCUUCUGUAGUAGCCCUAAAGCCUGCCGUAAAACCCCCUAUAACUUUCAA